UAGAGAAAUGAAGAGGAAUGAAAUAAUGUAAGAAGGAAAGAGGAAGAAUCAUGGGAGUGUAAAAUAGAAAUAAAAUAGACAGGAGAAAGGAAUUAAAGAUGGUGGAAAAGAUUUUUAAAUAAAAGUCGCGAAAGAAAUUAAGAGUGCAAUCGAACACGAAUUUAAAGAUUUUUUAAAUAACUGUAAAGAUUUUACAAAAUGUGUAAUGAAGGUAGAGGAACGGAUAGAAAUAAAACAAUGUAAGAAGAAAGUAAGAAAAAUUUUGAGAUGUAAAAUAUGUAAACAAUAGACAAAAAAGCGGAAUUAAAGAAAGCGAAGAAGGUAAAAAUUGUUAAAUAAAGGACGAAAAAGGUUAAGAACGCUAUUGAACGCGAGUUUGAAGAUUUUUUAAAUAAUGGAUGAAUAUUACGUGGCAUUUUGACAUUUUGUGUUUUAAGAAUAAAAUUCCUUUAAUUGAACAUUACUUCUUUUAGUAAAAAUUUUAAAAAACGUGCAAUAAAGGUAAAGAAAAAAAGAAAAAUGAAAUAAUGUAAGAGGGAAGGAAGAAGAAUUAUGAGAGUGUAAAAUAGGUAAAAAAUAGGAAAGAUAAAAGAAAAGAAGGUAGAUAAUGUAGAAAUUUAAAAAAUAAUAUUACAAAAACGUCUGUUAAUAUAUUUUUUGUGUAAAAUAUUAAUAUCAUUGUAAUUUAUUAAUGCAAGGCGUGCUCAUGGAACAAACUGCAUGUCUCACAUUUUAUAAAGGUAAUAGUAGCUUUGUACAAGGGCAAGAUGAACAAUGUUAUAUUGAUUGGUCAUUCUUCGGUAAGAUAUAUAACAGAUAUUCUAUAUAUUAUUAUAGAGAAUGGUUGAAAUUAACUGGCAUUUUUUUCAGGGUGGCAUUGUGGCGAAAGGAUAUUAUUGCUAGCGCCAAAUAUGAAUGUUUCAACUGCAAGUAUAAUAAUAAACCUAGUUACUCCUCAUACUCCCUCUUUAGUCCUCGAUAGUUUCUUCGCUAAUUAUUGCUUAACACUACAAAAAGCGUGAGAUCAUAAAAUUACCUUUUCAAAAAAAAG